UUGUUCGCAAGGACUUUUACCGUGAAAUCCGCGCGUUGGAUACAGCCAUCAAGUCUUCAGAUUGGUCAUUUAUUCCCGUUGGACUAUUGCGCUACACACAUUUAUCUACCGAUGGUGUUCAUUUGUCGCAAAUGGGCUGCCUGAAUUUGGCGAAAUUAAUUUGUGAGAGAGUAUCCUUAACUCUUUUGACAUCUGCCGUGCCGUUUACUAUCAGCUCAUCUUCAGUGUUUGGCGUCUCUCAAAUUUCCCUUGACGUUUGCAAUAAAUCUGUUUUGAGCAUAGCUGAUUCCCUCUUUGCAGAGCUUUACAAAUCAUACAAACAGGAAUCUUGGACACAUGUCAACGGGCGCUCUGUCAAGUGGAUUUCAGAGGUUCCAUACUCAUAUGGAAGCGUUCGCCACCCGCCCAACAACUCUUGGUCACCACAGUUGUUGUUGUUAAAGACCUUGUUGGAGAAAGAACUCAAAGUUUCCUUCAACAGUGUCCUCAUCAACAUUUAUUGUUCCCUCGAAGAGUAUUUUUAGGGAGUUGGAUUUCACGCUGACAACGAACGUGGUAUUCCUGAUUAUCCAACCAUUGCCAGCGUAUCCCUUGGAGCCACCCGACGCUUUGCAAUGAAAAGAAAC